rnacentral:rRNA from 1 species
GACGAACGCUGGCGGCGUGCUUAACACAUGCAAGUCGAACGGUAAGGCCCUUUCGUUGGGGCACGCGUGGCGGGCGAGCGGGUGACACAUAGGUGAGCUACCCUGCACUUUGGGAUAGGCAUGUUCAACUGAGUCUAGUACCUGCUGGGAAUACGCUCUUCAUGCCGUGUGGGGGAAAGAAACUGCGGUGGGGGAUGGGCCCGCGGCUUAUCAGCUUGUUGGUGGGGUGGUGGCCUACCAAGGCAGCGACGGGUAGCCGGCCUGAGAGGGUGUCCGGCCACAUUGGGACUGAGAUACGGCCCAGACUCCUACGGGAGGCAGCAGUGGGGAAUAUUGCACAAUGGGCGGAAGCCUGAUGCAGCGACGCCGCGUGGGGGAUGACGGCCUUCGGGUUGUAAACCCCUUUCAGCACAGACGAAGCGUAAGUGACGGUAAGUGCAGAAGAAGCACCGGCUAACUACGUG